CGCACUCGCAAACGUCAACAAUUCAAUCGUAGCAGGCAGUUGUUUUUUUCGUCGUCGCGGCCGGCUGUGUGUUUACAAGUGAUAACACCGUUUUGUUUUCGUUCGCGGGAGUUUGUUUGUGUUUAUUAUUACAAAUUUUGUAUGUGAGAACAAUCGUGACCAAAUUGGCCACCGAAGAAGCGAGGACAAAAUCUGUCUAGUGUUUUGAGUGGCCUCCGGAAGCAAAACAAGUUAGCAGCAGCUGUUUUUCCUCCUUUCUGUGGGUGACGGCCUAACAACCUCCGGAAGGCGUUUUUCGGCAGUCCAACUCCCGGAUGUGCAACCUGCGCUUGAAUUAGCUGUCAAAAGGUAAAAGUAAAAGACGCUUACACAAAAAAUGUUUUUCAAAACGGCUGAGUCGAUUCAAGCUGCUUUUCUGUCAGCUGAAAAAAUAGUCUUGCCAACCCUACCUUCCCGAAGAAAGGAGCGGAGGAGGAAGUUGAUUCGCCGAAGUCGGAACGUGAGCUGCAAAACCGGCGGAGAUUGUGUCGUUCCCAUAGGCUAGGUUGGUGAGUUGAUUGGUGAACUCGAUUCCGUGCAAGCACACAUCAGCGGCUUCUUGCUUAAGAAGGUAAUUUGAAAAAAAUCCUUGAAAAAUUAUCUUUAAAAAAAAAGCUUUUAACUCCAGCUUCUAACAUUCCAGAUCGAUCAAUUGUUUUCAAGGGCAUGGAUAGCAACAUCAUCAAGAAGAUUCAACUAACCACGUGCCGUUGAUCAUAAAAACAUUCUGUGCUGAAGAAUAUCACCAGCAAAACCACCUUCAGAUAAGUGCUUGAUUUUUUUCUACAAAAGAAUUAGACACUUUGUGAUAAUUUCCAACAUUUUAGGUAGAAACUCAACUUGGACCAAAAGUAACAGAAAAGGCAGCCCUAGUUGAAAAAAAAGAAAGAUGUGUGCGUCAGUAAAUCAAAAGCGAUCUCGGGUUGGAGUGAACUAAGAGAGCCAGGAUCAGCAAAUCUUCAGACAAAGAUUGACUCCAAAGAAUUCGACCGUAUUAAAAUUUCCGGUAAGUCAAACUAAAAGUUUUCUAAGAAUGUAUCCCCGAUUGCCAAAUAAAGCUCCACCACUUUACGCUAGCCCCUUCCCUCACAGAGCGUAAAAGGGGGCUUAACAAUAACGGAUUUUGAUCUUCUCACAAUAUCAAAAACUGACCUUCCCAAGUUAUUUCCGUCUGCUCGGGAUGAUAACAAGUUGUAUUCUGGAGCAACAUUUGAAAGGGACGGUACGAAAUUGCUCUUACGGCCUUCUUCCCAUUUCAACACAUGAAAAGAAAGGCCUUAAGAGCGAUGUCGUACUGCUCCCUUCAAAUGUUGCAUGUUUAUUUAUUACCAUUUUUUUUUCAUUUAGUUUGUUUUCUUU
rnacentral:lncRNA from 1 species